rnacentral:rRNA from 1 species
AGUGAACGCUUUCUUUCUUCCUAACACAUGCAAGUCGAACGGCAGCACAGUAAGAGCUUGCUCUUACGGGUGGCGAGUGGCGGACGGGUGAGGAAUACAUCGGAAUCUACUUUUUCGUGGGGGAUAACGUAGGGAAACUUACGCUAAUACCACAUACGACCUACGGGUGAAAGCAGGGGAUCUUCGGACCUUGCGCGAUUGAAUGAGCCGAUGUCGGAUUAGCUAGUUGGCGGGGUAAAGGCCCACCAAGGCGACGAUCCGUAGCUGGUCUGAGAGGAUGAUCAGCCACACUGGAACUGAGACACGGUCCAGACUCCUACGGGAGGCAGCAGUGGGGAAUAUUGGACAAUGGGCGCAAGCCUGAUCCAGCCAUACCGCGUGGGUGAAGAAGGCCUGCGGGUUGUAAAGCCCUUUUGUUGGGAAAGAAAAGCAGCAGGUUAAUACCCCGCUGUUCUGACGGGACCCAAAGAAUAAGCACCGGCUAACUUCGU